rnacentral:rRNA from 1 species
AGAGUUUGAUCAUGGCUCAGGAUGAACGCUGGCUACAGGCUUAACACAUGCAAGUCGAGGGGAAACGACAUCGAAAGCUUGUCUUUUGAUGGGCGUCGACCGGCGCGACGGGUGAGUAACGCGUAUCCAACCUGCCCACCACUUGGGAUAACCUUGCGAAAGUAAGACUAAUACCCAAUGAUAUCUCUAGAAGACAUCUGAAAGAGAUUAAAGAUUUAUCGGUGAUGGAUGGGGAUGCGUCUGAUUAGCUUGUUGGCGGGGUAACGGCCCACCAAGGCAACGAUCAGUAGGGGUUCUGAGAGGAAGGUCCCCCACAUUGGAACUGAGACACGGUCCAAACUCCUACGGGAGGCAGCA